UCCUUGUGUGGAUGUCUACUAGUAUUUGUGCUCGUAUGCAUGAAUGUAUGUGUGUAUAAUUUGACAAACCUCUCCACAAAUCUCUGCGUGUGCGCAGGCAUCCAUGUCUGGCUGUUUUUAGACAUGGUGAGUGUUUAAAGCUCAAUGCACGCUGUUGCACUCUCUUAUGCAACCAUGCGACUUUGACCACACAUUCACACACAUGCAUAUGCGCACACUCACAAACACAGUAUCAGGGAGCUACUUAUUCAGUGAUAAAAGGCAAGCCAGAGGGAACCCAGUAAUUGAACUCCAGUGAGCGAAGCUUGGAAGCACCGUGCCGUAUCCAGGGUAAUAAGAAAAAAAGUUAUUAUUCACCUCAAAGACAAACACACAUACAGUACAUGUGCACACGCUCAAAAAGGAGCACAUGUAUUGGAAUGCACACAUACAAAAAGAGACACACUUAGGCAAGAACAACAACAUACCAUUCACACAACAAACUCACAGGACCGCAGUCUGUAGGUUUAGACUGUCCUACGAAGCCAAGUUUGAAGGAUGAUGAAGAUCAGGGUAUGGAGCUGUUGCAUAAGCAAAUAAACUUUGAAAUUAUUGACUUUCACACUCUCUACCUCCCGCUGCUCCACUGAAUAAAUCAGAGUUCUCUCUCUCUCUCUCUCUCUCUCUCUCUCUCUCUCACUUUGGAUGUAUUCAGUAUAUUCGCAGGAAGGAAUCCACAAUGUGUGCGGCUAUCAGUUGGACUGCAGUAUUGCAGUAGGCGCACACACAGCUCUAUUGCAACUCUACUCCUCUGAAGCCUUUCUUUCUGCCUGGUUUCCCAUGAAGUCCAGUGGCCACUGAAGCCAAGCACUGAAAUGUUACAUACCACUUGUAGCAAAGAAUAAUGUUCUUCCUGUGAUGCAAUUAUCCGUAGUCCUCUUCAAUCUCAAUCAGCCUCCCACACCAACAUAUAACAAUCUCAGCUGUGAUCAUCUGUAGACUUACUGACCCUCUGUUACCAAAACACAAUUGAUCUCUUCACAGAGAUUUCUUGUGUGUGUUUUCAGUCCUCCGUACUUGCUGUGUACAUUAAAUGUCAUCACAGAGACCACACCACAGCUUCAUCAAUGAACUGCACAUGCAUGUGAGCUGUCUUCAUGAGUCGAAGUCUAAUGGAUAUUCAGCCAACAAGUACAAGUUCUCUCAGUGUCUUCUGCAGGACAUUGCUGGAAAGCAAAUCUCAUUUAUCCCUUGGAGCACCUUGCAAUGUAUGCCAAAGCCAAGGGCCGUGCUUUAAAUUCAUUAUCAGCUGUCUUAAAGAUGAGAAGCCAAUCUGUCUGAGAGGUGUCUGGAAGGCUCUGUAACACCAUCAUAACAGAAUGAGCUGUAGUGAAAUGUCAAUACUCUCCCUGGAGUGUGCAGUGUGUGUAUUUGAGUGUUUAUAAGUGUGAGAAAAGUAUGAGUAAGAGGGCAGGCGCUUGGUGUGUGACAAUGCAUGUGUGCUGUAAGAUGGGUUUUUAAUGCCAAUGUUAUGGCUUUAGCAAUGUGGGGAAAAGCAAUAUUUAAUUUGUCAAUGAACGACAAAACUGAAUAAAAUGAAGUAGCAAAGCACCAGAUUACAGCAGUUGUACUUCUUGUCAUGUACAUUUGCUAAUAUAUAGUCCAGACUGUAUUUGGACAGUUAAAUAUUUUGUUCUUUAGGCUCUGCGCUCCAGCACAUUCAAUUUGAAAUAAAAUUACGCAUUAAAGCGUCAAGUCUCCGUUUUAAUUUUAGUAGGGUUACAUCAAUAUGGAAAGACCAGUGUGGAAAAGACCUUAAUACACAUCGUGAGAGAUAAUUCCACCUUAAGUCUCAUAGAGUGGACUCAACUCUUCAGUUCUGAGGUACACUCAAGGUCUUCAGUGCAUGAUCUGACAGUGAAAGAACACACAGCUGACCAAGGAACCCUUAGUAUCCAAGUGUCUGACGACUUCUAAACCUUCACAACAUGACACCAUGUGUAAAAGCACUGUAUCUCCCAUAUUUUUUCUACACUGAUGCAAACCUAUUCAAAUUUAAGCUCAGGCUCAGCCCUCUAAUAUG